CAGAGGGGGCAAGCGUUGUUCGGAAUUACUGGGCGUAAAGGGCGCGUAGGCGGCCUGCUAAGUCGAACGUGAAAUCCCUGGGCUCAACCCAGGAACUGCGUCCGAUACUGGUUGGCUUGAAUCCGGGAGAGGGAUGUGGAAUUCCAGGUGUAGCGGUGAAAUGCGUAGAUAUCUGGAGGAACACCGGUGGCGAAGGCGACAUCCUGGACCGGUAUUGACGCUGAGGCGCGAAAGCCAGGGGAGCAAACGGGAUUAGAUACCCCGGUAGUCCUGGCCCUAAACGAUGAAUGCUUGGUGUGGCGGGUAUCGAUCCCUGCCGUGCCGAAGCUAACGCAUUAAGCAUUCCGCCUGGGGAGUACGGUCGCAAGGCUG
rnacentral:rRNA from 1 species